rnacentral:rRNA from 1 species
GACGAACCGUCCAAACGUUGUUCGGAAUCACUGGGCUUAAAGGGCGCGUAGGCGGGCCAGAGGGUCCGGGGGGAAAUCUUUCGGCUUAACCGGAAAAGUGCCUUGGAUACCGCUGGUCUAGAGGGAGGUAGGGGCAUGUGGAACUUCUGGUGGAGCGGUGAAAUGCGUUGAUAUCAGAAGGAACGCCGGUGGCGAAAGCGACGUGCUGGAUCUCUUCUGACGCUGAGGCGCGAAAGCCAGGGGAGCAAACGGG